UUUGAAAGCUGAUGAAGUGGUGGAUGAUAAUAGGCAUAAACAAGAUGUUAAUGAUGCUAUUGAUGACAUGGAGGUAGAUGUUAACACUUUAGCUCGGUUCAAAAGGCACUUACUAGAGGAAGAUAGUGUGGAAAAUAGAAAUGAGGUUGAGAGUUAUUUGGUUGAUGGUUGUGAGGAUCCUAAUGAUGAUAAAUUAGAUAUUUUGGGUUGGUGGAAGAUUAAUGCUUCAAAAUAUAAGAUACUUUCGAAAGUUGCACAACAUGUUUUGGCUAUUCCUAUAUCCACAGUGGCUUCCGAAUCAGCCUUUAGCACAGGUGGUCAUAUACUCGAUCAAUUUUGAAGUUCUCUAUCUCCAGCAAUAGUUCAAGCACUUAUUUGUUGUCAAAAUUGGUUGCAUCAUGGUCCAAUUCCAACUGAUAAUACAACCUUGAUGAAUGAUUUUGAAACCUACGAAAACCUUGAAUCAGAAUUUGGUGGAAAGUUGCAUUUACCAACGGAUGAUAAUUAGUUCACAAAUUGUGAUGCAUUUAUUGAAAACAUAUGGUAUAAAUAUCUUUUUUUAUUUUUAUAUCUUCUGAUUUAAUUUAUCAUGUUAUAAUUCUAGAUUAUGAAUUUCAGGAAUCAAAGUGUAAUGCUCUUGAAGUGCUUUUUUA